rnacentral:pre_miRNA from 1 species
AGGAGGCACAACCGCAGUGGCGGGGCCAGCUCUGCAGCCCUGGCUUCAGCCCCCGCACUAGCUCCAGAGCUCUCCGUCUGCAGGGCCUGGAGGCUCCGGGCGGGG